GAGACAUUUUCUUCAGUGCUGUAGUCCCUGAGUUAACUGACCUUGCUCCUGUGCAUGAUCCCUCCCCAGUGUUCCUGCUUCCAUACCGUGGUAGAUCACUGCAGUUCGAUGGUUUCCUCCAGUCUGCAGUAGAUCCUCCCAGACUGAGUUGCGGUGUCAGGUUUGAGGAGAGGAACGCAGACACGAGCCCUCCCCCUAUUUCACGCCCAGAGCACGUGGAACACCCAACUGAGGUUCUGAUUGGCU